rnacentral:rRNA from 1 species
AUUGAACGCUGGCGGCAGGCCUAACACAUGCAAGUCGAGCGAGAGGCGGGCGGGGGAGUAAUGUCUGGGAAACUGACUGAGGGAGGGGGAUAACAAAUGGAAACGGUAGCUAAUAUCGCAUACCAUCAGAUGUGCACAGAUGGGGGUAGCUAGUAGGUGGGGUAACGGCUCACCCAGGCGACGAUCCCUAGCUGGCCUGAGAGGAGUACCAGGCACACUGGAACUGAGACACGGUCCAGACUCCUACGGGAGGCAGCAGUGGGGAAUAUUGCACAAUGGGCGCAAGCCUGAUGCAGCCAUGCCGCGUGUUUGAAGAAGGCCUUCGGGUUGUAAAGCACUUUCAGCGGGGAGGCGUUACCAACAGAAUAAGCACCGGCUAACUUCGUGCCAGCAGCCGCGGUAAUAC